rnacentral:rRNA from 1 species
GGCCAGACUCCUACGGGAGGCAGCAGUGGGGGAUAUUGCACAAUGGGGGGAACCCUGAUGCAGCGACGCCGCGUGGGUGAAGAAGCGCCUCGGCGCGUAAAGCCCCGUCAGCAGGGAAGAAAAUGACGGUACCUGAAGAAGAAGCCCCGGCUAACUACGUGCCAGCAGCCGCGGUAAUACGUAGGGGGCAAGCGUUAUCCGGAUUUACUGGGUGUAAAGGGGGCGCAGACGGCGAUGCAAGCCAGGAGUGAAAGCCCGGGGCCCAACCCCGGGACUGCUCUUGGAACUGCGUGGCUGGAGUGCAGGAGGGGCAGGCGGAAUUCCUGGUGUAGCGGUGAAAUGCGUAGAUAUCAGGAGGAACACCGGUGGCGAAGGCGGCCUGCUGGACUGCAACUGACGUUGAGGCCCGAAAGCGUGGGGAGCAAACAGGAUUAGAUACCCUAGUAA